rnacentral:lncRNA from 1 species
CACAUCCUCAGGACUCGUGCGGGGUCCCUGGCUCUCACCCCGCGGGUACCUGCUCGAGCUGCGGGGCUACCUCCAGCACGGCCGCCGCUUUGAGCUCCGCCAUGAUCGUCGCCGCGUCGGAUCCCCGCCGGGAGAGUGUAGCAGAGUCCGCGUUGGAGCCGAGCUGACAGUGGCCGGGCGGGUGGCCUGGCUGUGGCUGCAGUGGUACCUCCUCCGGAGCCCAGGUCACCAUGCACUGCGCACCUCCCUAGCGUAGUGAGGGACUCCUCAGUGUGGCAUGGGCACGUUCUGCGGGUCCUCCUACAUGAUGAAAGGUCCUGCGUCCCACCACGCCCUGUACUCUCUGCUGGAACCAGAGGUGACUGGGCUGGAGGAGGGUCCGGAACAGAUAAACAUUAAUAAGAUCGCCUAGUGGUGGAUUUCUUGAAACACACUCCAUCUGCUACCUAGCACGUUACUGUACAUCUUUGUUACUGUACUUCUUCGUGUACAGCUUGUUAAUUAGGAUGUGCGAUUUUGCCAUUACGUGGAGGUGCUCUGACAUGCUUGGGAGAAGGAAGUCAACACAAAGGGCAAAACCCAGCAUCCUCUCUCUGUAUCCUGGCUUCCAGUGGAGAACUUAAGUAUGGAAGGACUUACCACAUUCACAAUGGCUGCUCUUCUCUAAGAAUCUCCAGCAAUACACAGCAGGACUGUGAGGCACAGUUCAGAGUCCCAUUGAUAUGUAACUGAAUUGCUGAGAUGGACCAAUGAGAGCCUUCGAAGUCUCUGCUGUCUGCAGGAGCAGUGGCCACGAAUCUGGCUGAAAUGUGGGGUACAUGCUAAUGUAUGGGGAGACCAGUCUUAAACCACUGGAGUAGCUGGUAACUUCAACCUGCUGUGGGGAGGACUGGGCCUCCUGAGAAGGAAAUGACAGAGCUCCCUCCAAGGUCGUUGGUCAAAGGAGACAUGACAGAAGACAAAGAAUAGGUACAACAAGAUGUAAAGUUUAUAUACAAAGAAUAUAAUGUUUAUCUGAAAUAUUUACAGUGUCGGUUAAAGCAAUAUUUUUACAACUUUUCCAGGUCAACUACUACGUAUAUUACAGGGCAUCAUGCAAUGAGGAAUGGUUACUGUGUGCUUAUAAACUGAAGUUCUGUAGCUGGGAUGGGAACGCAUGCAAUGGUCAGAGCUCAUGAGGGCAUAAAACGAGCAACGAAAUGUUUGAAGACUUAGAUGCCGAUUCUCAGGCUGGAACUGAGGAAGACUUUGAGAUAACAGCCAGCUUUAUCUCAACUAAGUCUGGGACCCACAAGCUUAGACCACAGAGGUUAGUUUGAAUAUUUGUACAAGAUCUGGAUGGGCUUUUCGCUUUCCGUGAAAACAGCUAUGGGUUUCCAAGGCCUCCUAGGGCCUUAUAACUCAGGACAUGUUAGGGAUACACACAUGCAGGAGGCAGGGCAAGCGGCUCCAAGCUGGGGCUGUAGCUUUCCCGGACUGUGCUUGGGAAACCGGAAAUGAGGUCGCGGAGCGGAAGUGGUCUACAGAGCUCAGGGCCUGGAUGGAGAGAAGCCACCCCACUGGGAAACUAGCAUUGCAGCUUGCGGAUGCUGCGGGAGAUGCGCUUGAACUCUCUCUGGCCCUUCUGCCACCGUUUCACGGAGGUGAUCACCAGCUCGCCGCCCUGCUUCUGUCCCAUGACCAGAUACGGAGCGUUGAUGUCGUUCAUCUCCUCACAGGUGCACUGCAGGCUGUCUUUGAGCCACAGCACGGAUUUCUUCAGGUCCCUUUCGGACACGCCGUUCAGCUGUGCUGUGAAGACAAGAGGGGCAGAAAGGACAUCAGAAAACACGGGUGAUGACGGCGGAGAACUGUGGAGCUGCUCCAAGUGUUUCCUUGUGUCAGGGCCACAGUUCAGGAACCAGCCAAGGUUCAACUCAGGACACCUCCUGAAAAGAUCUGAAGUCCCUGAGGAGCAGAGACCAGGACUGUUCUCAGUGUUCGAGACCUGACUUGGCCUGAGAGUUCAAGGUAGCAGGAAAAAAAUUAGCGAUUGAAAGGGAGAUGCGGCUGCAGCCAGAGAGGGUGGGACAAGAACGUGCAGAGAGAGGCUGAGCCUGGGUGCUCAUCACUAGGACCCAAUCAUGGUCGUCGAGACAGACAGGGGC